UUCUUUCUUCUUCUGUUCUUUUUCUUCCUUUCACUGAGACACACUGAGACAGAGGGAGAGAGUGGGUUUGAGAGGGGGAGAUCGGGAGAGUGAAACACAGAGAGAGAGAUGCUGUCGGAGAAAGAGAGAGAGAGGUGCUAAGAGAGAGAGAGAGACGAACAGAGAAGAAGACCGAUCGAUGGUGGUCAACGUCGGCAAUUUCUGGGUUGUCAAUCGGUGGCCGGAGUGCGCGAUUUCCGGUGGUUCCAUUGGAUUUCCGGCGAAGACCUGUUGAACCAGAGACCAACAGAGGAAAAACCCCGAUUUUUCGACGACUUCAUGAUGUGAUUUUCGGGUAAAAGCUCGACCCCGACGCUAAUGGCUAGUCCAGAUAGUGUUCCUUUGGCUGCAGGUACUCGGGUCGUAGUUGAUGGGAGUGUAGACGUGCAUUUGAGAUAUUAUAACCGGAGCUCGCCGCGACGGUCGUAAAUGCGGGACCAUGGGCGUCCUUAGUUUUAUAGGGUUUGUUAUGGCUUGUGACGCAUGUGUCACUCGUUAUUGUAUAAAGCCAUUUCUGUUAUGUAUUUAUAUCGAGGAAAGACUUAAACACAUAGAUGUUAAAUGGCUCUUGUUGUUAUUAAUUU